ensembl:lncRNA
AAAAUGUAUGAACCUAGAGUGUUAUGGUUGUACUCCCUUCCAGAUUUCCUUCUCUGCCAAGCCAGGAUGCCAUGGAGUGAUGCAUGAUGGGAAAGGGGGAUGACCUGGGAAGUCUAGCAGCUGGGGGAGUAGAGGAUAGACACUUGAAGCCUGUCACAGCCUUGCCAAGCAACUUCUGCAGUCAGUGUUGAAAUCCUGCUGAAGAGAGGCCGCUGGGAGUUACAGGCCUCCCAGGUUUGAGAUGCUCUCUCGUGUGUGCACGCAUUUCCUGUGACUAAUGUGGGCUGGGGCUUGUCUGUCUUGGCUGCAGCUAGACUGAAGACAAGCUCUCCUCUGGUUUGGCAGGAAGCUUUUGAAGCUACUGCCAAGACAUCUGCUUCAUCUUUCUUGGCAACGACAGGCAUCCUAAGAGACAGACUCGGGGCUUGGAACUGCUAACUCCUGAGAAUUCCAGAUUCUGAGUGGCGGUGACUCCUGUGAUAGGUGAAGAAGGCAAGCUCUUUCUCUGAGGUUUUUUGGAACCUGAUGAUGCCUGGUGGGACCAAGAUAGAUUUGCGCCUGUCUGGUGGAGGGGCUUGGAGUAUGUAGCUUGAGUGGUACUUCCCCAGGGAGAUGAUAAGGAGCUCUCUUCACUGGCAGCUCCUAGGAGGGAAGACGCUGGUGACAUCAUAGGCACUAGAUACUGAUGCAGAGGUCCCUCUUGGUUUCUGGCUCCUGUAUUGAUUGGAUGACCGGUUGCAAACUGUUGGAGCCCAGCUGCUGGUUGUGUGCCCCACAGCUCACAUCUAAAGAUCAGAGGACAAUCUCAGGUGUCAGUCUUCUUCAUCUCCCACCUUGUUUGAUACAGGGCUUUGUUGGGAGUGUGUACACCAGGCUAGCUGGCCUAUAAUCUCCAGGGAAUUCUCCACCUCCCAUCUCUUUAUAAGAGCACUGGGAUUACAGAUGCCAGCUUUUGCAACUAGCUGUUAUAUGGAUGCUGGGGGUCUCAGCUCAGGACCUCAUGCUUUCUUGACAAGCAUCUGGUUUCCAUGAGAAGUCACAAGACAACCAUGGACUGUUGGGCUUCUCUCUAUGGAGAGAUCAGAUACUUCAACUGCAUAGCAUACCUGAGGUGGCUUGAAUAGGAAUAGCCCCCAUAGACUCAUCUAUUUGAAGACUUGUUCCUUAGGGAAUGGUGCUACUUGAGAGAGAUUAGGGGGUGUGGCCUUGUUGGAUUGGGUGUGGCCUUGUUGGAGGAGGUAUGCCACUGAGGUGGGCUUUGGGGUAUCAGAAGCCCAAGCAAGGCCCAGUGUUUCUCUCUUCCUGAUACCUUCAGAUCUGGAUAUAGAAUUCUCAGCUCCUUCUCCAAUACCGUGCCUACUUGCUGCCAACCUUCCUGACAUGGUGACAACGGUCUAAUCCUCUGAAAUAGUAAUGAAGCCCCAAUUAAAUGCUUUCCUUUGUAAGAGUUGCCAUGAUUGUCCAGUAGCGGUGUCGCACCCCUUUAAUCCCAGCACUCAGGAGACAGAGGCAGGUGGAUCUCCAUGAGUUUGAGGCCAGCCUGAUCUACAGAGGAUCUACAGCCUGUGUCAAAGCUACACAGAGAAACCCUGUCUUGAAAAACCAAAAAAAAAAAAAAAAAGAAAAGAAAGAAAGAAAAAGAAAAGAAAAGAAGAAAAAUAGCAUUUGAAAUGGCUAUGUAAUCCUACAAAUGUAUUAUAAUACAUGUAAUUACAUAUUUUAGAACAUCUGGGUUUCUACCAUUUUGGUAUUCAACAUUGUCUUUAUUGAUCAUAUCUGAACAUAAAUUUUUGUCUGAAAGUCUUAUUUACUCAGAGAAAAUUCCAAGGUAUUUUUUAGUUAUAUUUCCUGGAUGCAUUUGUCAGAUGGUUUCCACAGGGCUGCCCCUGACCUGCAAACCUCCCUUUGAGGGGAUUGUUGUCUAUCCCAGCUUAGGGUAAUACCAGUGGAGGAAAAAAUAUCUUAUUACCUGAAAAGCAAAUAAUGGUAUUUCAGUGCUAUAAUCGUGUGUACUAUAAUUUCAGUACAAGCAACAACAACAAAAUAAAAACGUAAUUAUUAAGUCAGUAUUUUUUUAAAAUAUCCUCUUUCCUCACCAUUUUUCAGGCCUGGGGCUGUGUAGUUCCUGGUAGAGUCCUUCCC